rnacentral:rRNA from 1 species
UACGUAGGGUGCAAGCGUUAAUCGGAAUUACUGGGCGUAAAGCGUGCGCAGGCGGUUAUGCAAGACAGAUGUGAAAUCCCCGGGCUCAACCUGGGAACUGCAUUUGUGACUGCAUGGCUAGAGUACAGCAGAGGGGGAUGGAAUUCCGCGUGUAGCAGUGGAAUGCGUAGAUAUGCGGAGGAACACCGAUGGCGAAGGCAAUCCCCUGGGCCUGUACUGACGCUCAUGCACGAAAGCGUGGGGAGCAAACAGG